ACACGCGUACAACGGAUAAACUGGGAAGCUUUGUGGUCCAGAUUCGAAAAAAAUGGUGAUAUAUCUUCGGUUUUAAGAAAACAGAGGUGGCAGAUAUUCUUGGGAUUUUGUGGAUGAAUUUUACGGAAAUUGCAUGAUGAAUUUGGUAGGAUUGAUUAUCUGCGAGACUCUACUCUAUCUUAGGAAAGAGUUUCCUAUAAACAGUAGCCGCGUAUGAAGAUAAAAAUGAAAUAUUCCAGUAACUUACCGUGGGAGAAAAUAAGAGAUUUCCUCGGUGUUUUUGAGUCAUGUGAUGUAUAUAUAUGUCUGGUGAGGUUCAGAAAAAGGGAAUCGAUACUUUGGGGUAGAACGGAGCCAUGGAAUAGGGUUGCAAAGAAGUUCUUCAUCGCUGCAGAAUGAGGAAGAAGACGACCAGAAAAACCGUCUUUUUCCAAAUCUGUAACAAUUUUCCAACAAGUAUAUCUGUUAUGGUUUCUCUCUAACAACAGGUUCUUUAAAAGUGGGUUCUGUAACAAUUAUAUAUCUUACAAACUCGUUGCUUUAUAUUUUUUCUCUCUUUUAAUCAAGUUUUGAGCUAUGAACCAAUAUUUUGAGCAAGUAAUUAAUAUGAGGAGAUUAACCCCAUUGCUGAAGGCGACGGAGGAAACUAUUUUUCCAGUAAAUAUGUGGUUUUGAAUAUUGGAUCGAAAAGAAAGCUGAGACCAAGAUAUUGGUGAUUAACUAAAGCCUUUGAGUUAAAUACAAAGCGAAAAGAAACGAGAAAAAGACAAAGAAUUAUACUUUUUUAUAUAUUUUUUUUUGUUUUUUUA